rnacentral:rRNA from 1 species
AACGAACGCUGGCGACAUGCCUAACACAUGCAAGUCGAACGGGAUCCUAGCUUGCUAGGUGAGAGUGGCGGACGGGUGAGUAACACGUGGGAAUCUGCCUUUUGGUUCGGGAUAACCGCGGGAAACUGCGGCUAAUACCGAAUGCCCUCGUGAGAGGAAAGAUUUAUCGCCAGAAGAGGAGCCCGCGUCCGAUUAGGUAGUUGGUGGGGUAAAGGCCUACCAAGCCGACGAUCGGUAGCUGGUCUGAGAGGAUGAUCAGCCACACUGGGACUGAGAUACGGCCCAGACUCCUACGGGAGGCAGUAGUGGGGAAUAUUGGACAAUGGGCGAAAGCCUGAUCCAGCCACGCCGCGUGAGUGAUGAAGGCCUUCGGGUUGUUAAAGCUCUUUCGUCACGCGACGAUGAUGACGGUAGCGUGAGAAGAAGCCCCGGCUAACUUCGUGCCAGCAGCCGCGGUAAU